rnacentral:rRNA from 1 species
GAUGAACGCUGGCGGCGUGCUUAACACAUGCAAGUCGAACGGAAAGGCUCCAGCUUGCUGGGGUGCUCGAGUGGCGAACGGGUGAGUAACACGUAAGUGAUCUGCCCUGCACUUCGGGAUAAGCCUGGGAAACUGGGUCUAAUACCGGAUAGGAGCCAUUUUUAGUGUGAUGGUUGGAAAGUUUUUUCGGUGUAGGAUGAGCUCGCGGCCUAUCAGCUUGUUGGUGGGGUAAUGGCCUACCAAGGCGGCGACGGGUAGCCGGCCUGAGAGGGUGGACGGCCACAUUGGGACUGAGAUACGGCCCAGACUCCUACGGGAGGCAGCAGUGGGGAAUAUUGCACAAUGGGCGCAAGCCUGAUGCAGCGACGCCGCGUGGGGGAUGACGGCCUUCGGGUUGUAAACUCCUUUCGCUAGGGACGAAGCUUUUUGUGACGGUACCUAGAUAAGAAGCACCGGCUAACUACGUGCCAGCAGCCGCGGUAA